rnacentral:lncRNA from 1 species
UGCGAUCUAUUCGAUUUAUCAACCCCGUAGUUGAUUUGCAUGGCAAUUUUUAAAAGGGCAAUCCGCAGUUGCUACAUCCAUUUUGGACGCAUAAAUGAUAUGUAUUCUUGAAGAACAUAACCUAUAAAUGCCUCAUGAGCUAGAUUCAACUGUCAUACCUCAUCAGAACCCAAAUACAUAUUUUUACCCCAAGAACACCAAAUAGUACUUUUUAAAAAUCCCAAUGUUUGUAAAUGUAAACAAACACUACACUAGCCUCAAAACAUGGUUAAAAAUAUAAUUUUGAUAUCACGGUUGGUCAGUCCUUGCAUCCAUAGCUCUGUCUAUGAAUUUGAGAGUUGGUACAUCACUUGGCCCCCUCCUUAUGCUUUGUUACCAAAACAGGGGUGGCUCGGACGCUUUGUUACCAAAAACGGGUGGCUCGGACGCUUUGUUAGCAAAAACAGGGGUGGCUCGGACGCUUUGUUACCAAAAACAGGGGUGGCUCGGACGCUUUGUUAUCGUUUCUGCUGCUGA